GGAUGAACGCUGGCGGUAUGCUUAACACAUGCAAGUCGAACGAUGUUUUAGGACAUAGUGGCGGACGGGUGAGUAACGCGUAAGAAUCUACCUUCAGGUUUGGGACAACCAUUGGAAACGGUGGCUAAUACCGAAUGUGCCGAGAGGUGAAAGGCUUGCUGCCUGAAGAAGAGCUUGCGUCUGAUUAGCUAGUUGGUGGGGUAAAAGCCUACCAAGGCGACGAUCAGUAGCUGGUCUGAGAGGAUGAUCAGCCACACUGGGACUGAGACACGGCCCAGACUCCUACGGGAGGCAGCAGUGGGGAAUUUUCCGCAAUGGGCGAAAGCCUGACGGGGCAAUACCGCGUGAGGGAGGAAGGCUCUUGGGUUGUAAACCUCUUUUCUCAGGGAAGAAGACAAUGACGGUACCUGAGGAAUAAGCAUCGGCUAACUCCGUGCCAGCAGCCGCGGUAAUACGGAGGAUGCAAGCGUUAUCCGGAAUGAUUGGGCGUAAAGGGUCCGCAGGUGGUAGUGUAAGUCUGCUGUUAAAGAGUCACGCUCAACGUGAUAAAAGCAGUGGAAACUACACAACUAGAGUACGGUAGGGGCAGAAGGAAUUCCUGGUGUAGCGGUGAAAUGCGUAGAUAUCAGGAAGAACACCGGUGGCGAAAGCGUUCUGCUAGACCUGUACUGACACUGAGGGACGAAAGCUAGGGGAGCGAAUGGGAUUAGAUACCCCAGUAGUCCUAGCCGUAAACGAUGGAUACUAGGUGUGGCUUGUAUCGACCCGAGCCGUACCGUAGCUAACGCGUUAAGUAUCCCGCCUGGGGAGUACGCACGCAAGUGUGAA
rnacentral:rRNA from 1 species